AUGUUCGAGUACCAUCAUAUUGCCAGCAGGAUGUUUCAUAGUGAGGAUGACGGUUAUAAAUUCUAUAACAAAUAUGCUCUUGAGAAAGGUUUUAGCGUGAGAAGCUAUGUUGAGUGGGAUGGAUCCAACAAUCAUAUAAGUUUAAGGAAAAUUGUGUGUAGUCGUGAAGGAGUUUGCAAAGAGAAGCACAUGAAGAGGAGGAUGGAAGAUAGACAGAGGAGGCCACAGAGUAUAACUCGUGUUGGGUGUCAAGCUAAAUUGGUCAUUGCAAGGCUGGAGGAAACAGGUCGGUGGUUUGUCAAGGAUUUCAUUGAUGAACACAACCACCCUCUGGCCCCACGGGAUCUUUCGUGCCUUUUGCAUUCACACAGACGAAUUAGCGAUGAGCAGCAAGUGGACAUUGCAAACAUGGAAAAUUCUGGGAUCCGCAAGUACCAUAUUAUCGAUAUCUCGUGCAUGCAAUACUGAGGAUAUGAUCAGGUUGGAUGCACAAGGAGGGACUACAACUUCUGUCAUGCUAGUAAGCAGGAAUCAAUCUGUACAGGUGAUGCUAAAACGGUGAUCAGUCACAUGAUGGCGCAGCGAGAAAGAUCUAGAUUUUUUUUCUUCAAGUACUUGGUUGAUGAACUUAGCCAUCUGAAGGGACUCUUCUGGUCUGAUAUUCAAUCCUGACUUGACUACGUAGCUUUCGGAGACGUUAUUAUUUUUUAUAGCACAUACAGAACCAAUAAGUACAAUCUGCCAUUUGUGUCGUUUGUCGGGUUGAAUCACCACCGCAACACUGUUAUUUUUGGAUGUGGUAUAUUUUCUAAUGAAACAAGCCACACAUACGAGUGCAUGUUGCGGACCUUUUCUGACGCCAUGGCACAGAAGCAUCUGAUAUAUGUGAUUGCGAUCCAGAGAGCAAUCAGGGUGGUCUAGCCUGACUCAAACCAUAAUUUGUGUAUAUGGCACAUUCAGCUGAACAUUGUACAUCAUCUGAGUGAUGACACGGUAAAGGAGGAAUUGAGAUCUUUCAUAUAUUAUUCAUCUUCCGUUAAAGAGCAUGAGAGAAAAUGGAUAUAAUUCUUAUAAGGGAAUAAAGUAACCAGUGAGGAGUCCUGACUGCAUCAAAUGUGUUAGAUGAGAAAGUUGUGGUAUGCUCCAUAUCUUGAAGGGCGCUGUUUCCUAAGAUUGAGCAGUAAUCAGCGGAGUGAGAGCUUGAACUUUGUACUACAUACGCAUCUUGAGGCUAAGGUGACGUUGUUUCAAAUGCUAGAGAACUACGAGAGUUACCUUGUGACGCGACGGUUGAACGAGGCUCUCUAGGACACCGAGGCCCUGCAGUCACUUCCAUUUACAAAGGAAAAUGCUUCGGCUCUUGAGAAACACGCCGCAGAAGUUUUCACUCCUCUUGUGUUUAAGUUGGUGUUAUGGAGCAUUAAUGCUAUCAGCAAAUGUCAGAUCAGUGAGGUACUACAUGCAUCAGAAAUUAGCACGUAUGUUGUGUCUAAAAAGGAAAGAAUAGAUAAAAAGUUCGAAGUGCGCAGUGAGGGGCAGGAAGGUCUUUUGUGCAAGAUCAUUUUUACUUGCCGUAAGGUGGAAUCCGCAGGCACACCAUGUUCCCACAUAUUGUACAUAUUGGGAAUGUUGCAAGAAGAAAGACUGCUGAAGUGUUGUGUUCCCACUAGGUAG
rnacentral:rRNA from 1 species